rnacentral:lncRNA from 1 species
AAAAGACUCUUCUACAUACAGUUAAUGAGUUUUAUCGCAAUACGGCUAAUUUAAAUAUACAUUUUAAGUAGAAGAGGAAAAAACUCCCAUCAAUGUCUCCGUAACCUUUAAUCAAAAUAUGUUACGACAUGUAGCAACUAAUAAUUUGUAACAAUAUUUUGUUGAUUUCUUAUACAAUUCUGUAGAUAAGUGAUAAUUAGCCAAA